GGAUUGAUACCUUUUUUAUAUAUAAAAUGUCAUAAUUUCAUUAAAAUAUGCACUAAUGACAAAAAUUACAUCAUCAAACAUACACAGAUAUCAAAAAAUAGAUCUGAAAAAAGGAUACUCCAGAUUUGAAGAACAAUAAAAAUUACAUUAUAAAGCCCCAAAUUUAAAAAAUAAGAUAAAGUAAUUGUAACUCCACGGGGGGGCAUCUGUGCAUGCUUCCAAUUGCUAGAUUUGCUGACAAACUACUUCAAGUCCAGAUAUUAUGGUGAGAUCUGCUGAAUAGAUCCAAGAAAUUCUAGAUUUAAUAAUCAAAAUCUGAAAAAACUCAAAUCUAAUAAAAGAAAAAUGAAAAAAUUAUCAAAGCUACUUGGAUUGAUACUUAAACAAACAAACUUGAACGAGUCUGAUUCGAAUUGAGUUCAAGUCGAGUACCAAACUGUUUGGUUCAAUUUACGACCCUUCUCCUGAAAUUCCUACUUCCAUAUAUACUAUCAGCCAUAUCGGGAAAGCUAUUGGCAUUAGUAGGUGGUUUAGUUGUAGAGUGUUCGGGGUUAUUUCCUUUGUGUCAAUGGUGUGCUCCUUUGGGGGUUUUGGCAGGUGGUGGAUAGAGAUAGUACUAGUUUCCUAUUAGAGGAAUGCUGGUAGUGGUAGAAGAUUAGGAGCAAUACAGUUAUUAAAGAAGAUAAAGAGAGAAGUGAAGGUGGAAGUGGUGCUAUGGAGAGACAUUUUUAGGGAAAAUGUGGUUGAAAAUGUAUGCAGGGAUCAAAACAGUGCAUGCUUCAAUUUGUGAGAGACUAAAAUACUUCAUUUUAAAUAUAAGAAAUUAAAAAAGUAUACCUACAAAAUGUGACGGACGAGUAAUUGUAUUUUUCCAGAAAUAAAAAACCCCAAGAUCAUAGAGCUCUAUAAUUAACUCACUUCUAUUUUCCAUCCAACUAUUUUUAGUGACCAAGGUUAAUGUUAGAAGUAUGGCCGCCAAAAGCAUUAGGGGAUAGCCAAAACAUUGAUAUCAAAAUGCAAAAAUGAGCUAUAUCAACAAUAAGCUAUACCAUAUUCAGAAGAAUAACAAUGCUAAGAGACAAAUUCAGAGGUGGAAAUAAGAGUUGGUAGAACUGCAAAAGAGCAAUUAGAGUAAUAAAAGUAACAAGAGAGCUGAAUUAAAAAGGAAUUUGGCAGAAGCAUAUAGGAGAGAGGAGGUGUACUAGAGUCAAACAGCUAGAAGCACCUGGUUAAAAGAGGGGGAUAGGAAUACGAAGUAUUUUCAUGCUAUUGUGGAGGGGAGAAGGAGGAGGAAUAGUAUUUCAACUCUACGAAAGUAAGAUGGGAACUAGUGUAAUUCUGUGGAAGAGAUUGAAGGAGAGAUAAAGGAGUAUUUUAAAAGUAUGUUCACUUCUUCUGAUCCUCAACAUUUUGAGUCCAUUUUGGAUGGAAUUCCUCAGGUGAUUACAGGACAAAUGAACUCAAACUUGUGAGGCCUAUGUCUGAAGAGGAAAUCAGGAAAGCUAUGUUCUCCUUGUAGCCUAACAAAACACUUGGACCGGAUGGUAUGACUCCUGCCUUCUUUCAAAAAUUUUGGCAAAUCACCAAAGUUGAUCUGAUUAAUGCCAUUUCCAGCUUUUUUCAUUCAGGAAAUCUGUUAAGUGCAAUGAAUGAUAUUAUGAUAACUCUUAUUUCUAAAAUUGAGCAUCCUGUGUUUGUAUCCCACUUUAGACCAAUCAACCUAUGCAAUGUAGUAUAUAGGAUCAUAUCAACAAUUUUGGUCAAUAGAUUAAAACCUUUGCUAAAGUACUGCAUUAGUGUGAACCAAUCUACCUUUAUCCCAGGAAGGUAGAUCAUUGAUAAUAUCAUAGUUGCUCAUGAGUCUAACCAUUGUUUGAACAAUAAGAGAAAUGGAUCUAAUGCUUUUAUGGCUUUAAAACUUGACAUGUCCAAAGCAUACGAUGAAGUAGAAUGACACUUUGUGACUAAAAUAAUGGAGAAGAUGGGAUUUUGUCAAAAAUGGAUCAGGUGGAUUUUAAAAUGCAUGCCUUCAGUGACUUAUUCUUUCAAUAUAAAUGGAGAAAGGAGAGGUUUUGUGAGACCAACCAGAGGAAUUAAGUAAGGAAAUCCUCUAUCUCCUUACCUGUUUCUCUUAGUUACUGAAGGGCUGUCUAACCUUUUGAAAAAAGCAAUGCAGGAACACAGUUUGACUGGUCUUAAAGCAGCACAUUCGUGUCCAGCUCUAUCUCACUUGUUUUUUGCAGAUGAUACACUUAUAUUUUGUAGAGCUAAUCAAGAAGAAGUUGGAAAAGCAAUGCAAAUACUAAGAUUAUAUGGGGAAGCUUCUGGACAGAUUAUCAAUACUGAGUAGUCCUCAGUCUUCUUCAGUAAAAAUACAAGGAAGAGUAAAAAGCAGGAAAUACUGAGGUUGCUAGGACGCAUGAAGUAUGUAAAACAAAGUAGAUACUUAGGUCUCCCUUUGGUUAUUGGAAGAUCUAAGAGACAGGUGUUCAAUUAUAUUAAAGAGAGAGUCAUCAGUAGAAUGGGAGGUUGGAAAGAGAAAUUUCUGAAUCAAGCAAGAAAAGAGGUUAUGCUGAAAUCAGUAAUAUUAGCCUUGCCCACAUAUGCUAUGAGCUACUGUAAAUUGCCAAAAGCUCUAUGCAAGGAUAUUUGUAGGGAAAUGGCAAGGUUCUGAUGGGGGGGAUAGUGAGGAAGAAAAGAAAAUCCAUUGGAUUGAAUGGAACAACUAUCUGAAGUUAAAGGGAAUAGGGGACUGGGGUUUAGGGAUCUUCAGAGUUUUAACAAGGCAAUGCUAGCUAAGCAACUUCAGAGAGUUUUAACAAACCCAAGUCUUCUGGUUAGUAGGGUGCUUAAGAGUAAAUACCUUAAAGGGGAAUCUGUAUGGAAGAUGAUAGAAAAGGCCGGAGACUCUUGGAUGUUGAUGAGUAUUUUAAGUGCCAAGGACCUGUUAGAGGAAGAUGUAAGGAAAAGAGUUGGAGAUAGGAGCACUAUUGACAUAUGGAAGGAUAAAUGGUUGAUGAACAGUGAAACUGGUAAGGUUAGAUCCACUAAGCUAGAAGGAUGCCAGAUAUCAAAAGUGCAGGAGUUGAUUUGCAAUGGAAAAUAGAAUAAAAACUUGAUAAAAACCCUAUUUAGUGAGAAAGAUUGCACAAGAAUAGAGAGUAUUCCACUCAGUGAAUGUGGGAGCAAGGAUAGAUUAGUUUGGCCACGUUCUAAGUCAGGUCAAUACAUAGUAAAAACUGGUUACUUUUUGGCUAAGGAGAUGAAGGGAAGGAAAGAGAAAAUGCAGUACUAAGGAGCUUAAAUAUCAAACAUAAACUGAAACAUUUUAUUUGGAGAUGUUUGCAAAGAAUAUUUCCAGUUAAUGAGGUAAUAAAGAGAAGAACAAGGAAAGGGAAGGAUGGUUGCUCAUAUUGUGGAGAGAAGACAGAAACACUAGAGCAUACGUUGUUUUUCUGUAGGCAUGCUGAACUAAUCUGGAAAGCUAUACCAAUCAGAUGGGAUGGACUAAACAGUUUCAAAUAUUACUUUUGGCUUUGGUGGAAUAGUCUUAUGGAAGCAAAGGAAAGGAUUGAGGGGAGGGAACAUAUAGCUCUAACUAUAAAUAUUCUUUAGCAGGUGUGGAAGUCUAAAAAUGUUAUUCAAUUUAAUAGGGAAGAGAGGUGUCUAGGGAUGACCACAAACAAAGCAAUACAUGAAUGGUUAGAAUACGAAAAUGGCAGCAGGGAUGAGGAUAUCAUGAAAGAAACAAGUGAAGUUGAAGACAAGAAGGAUAAUAGCUGGAAACCACCACCUAAAACUACAUACUGAUGAAUAUUGAUGUAGGCUUGAACAUACAGAAAAUGAGGGUGGGAGGGGGGAUUAUUACUAGGAAGGAUGAUGGAAGUCUGAUUAAAGCUUGGGCAACAAGUGAAAGUAAACUAGGCGAACCAGAGGUGGAAGAAGCACUGGCAAUCAGACAGGCUCUAAACAUAGCUAAGCAAAAUGGCUGGAGAAAGAUUAUGAUACAAUUUGACUGCAAGAGGAUAAUUGACAAGAUUAGAGAAAAGAACACAGAAGAUUCGAACAUCGGGGUCAUUUUGUUUGACAUCUUGAAGAUUAGUCAAGAUUUUGCUGAAUGUUACUUCUCCUUUAUUAAACGGGAAGGUAACUGUGUUGCUCACCAAUUGGCAAAAUUUACCAUACACUUGAUACAUGAGAUUGUGUGGAAGGAUUCUUUUCCUGAUUGGCUUAACAGUCUAGCCAGACGUAGGGGUGCAAAUGAGCCGAGUCGAGUCGAGUUUUGAACUUAUCGAGUCGAGUCAGGCUUGUUUAUAUGCGAGCUCGAGUUCGUCGAGCUCGAAAUAUGAAGCUCGAGCUCAACUCGACAUAGAUAAAGAGGUACUCGAGAUCGACUCGAUUAUAGCUCGCGAGCUUAGCUCGAUUUUGGCUCGCGAGCAGCUCAUCACAUUAGCUCAAAUUUUGCUCGAUUUUUUGGCUCGUGAUGAGCUCGAAAUCAGCUGACUUUCUCAAAAUUUACGCAAGAAAAUAGAAUUUUUGUCCACAUAUUUUUGGUAAAAUUUAAGCAUAAUAAUAGCAAUUUUCACAUAUUCUUGAUUUUGAGAGCUACAAAUUAUCCACUAAUACAAUCAUAAACAUAUAAUACAUAAAAAUCUAAAUGUUCAAUACUUGAAAUGUUUAGUUACCAACAAAUUUCAAAUAUAAAUAGUGUCUUCGGCACUUCGUUAUCAAGCCCGGCUGUAAUUAUGCUCUUCAACCCGAAUUACAUUAAGAAGCAAAAGAAACCAGCAAAUGAACUAUCCAAAAAGAAAAAAGAAAGAAAGAAAAACAGCAGCCAAAAAAAGUCAAAAAAUCAGCCUGCUAAUUGAGAAAUUGAACACAAAAAAUCAGCAAGAAUAUAGCUUUAGACACAGCUAAAAAUUAGCCAUAAAAAGGGACCAAACAACAACAAAAAAUUGCCCAUAUCCAUAUGCCAUCUUUUUUACUGCAUGUGAAUACAGUAAAACGUUUUUGUCCAUCUAUGUGUAUAUAUAUUUUGGUCCGCGUGUGCUUCAAUUAUAUAUAUAUAUAUAUAAAUUUCCCCAGUCAAUGUAUCUGUUUUACACUCAAAUAAAUAAAAUUAAAGAGUUCUAGUAUUGGAAAUGUUUUUUCUAUAUUGUGUUACAUGCCUAAUUGACAACACCGUAGAUCUAAAGCUUUAGAGCUCUGGCAAGAAAAGCCCCUAAGUUGGACCACCGUAGAAGCAAAAACAAAAGAAGAGCAGCCAUCCAUCAAUAUUUGGGGACUCGUCUUAAUUAAUGUCCGAGGCAACUAACAUCCUGUGAACAUCACAGAGGUCCACAACUACCUCUUUUGCAAUAGAUCUAAAGCUUUGAAUGAUAAAGCUUUGAAAGGAUGGAUCCACCCAGCAGGGGAAGAAAGAAAGUAAGUUUUUAUCCAUAGAUCUAAACCUUUGAAUGAUAAUGCUUUGAAAGGAGGAAGCUGCCGAGCUGGGGAAGAAAGAAAACGGAAAAGGAAAAGAAAGAAAAGCUGAGUACAUACCUGCAAAAGCUGGGUGGAGCUGGUGGAGGUGGAGCUGGCGGAAGUGGGAAUUUGGAGUUUGGCAGUUGGGAAUCGGCAGGAGUCAGCAGAGGAAGUGAGGAUUUGGAAAUUAGGUAAAUUGAUGGAGAAAGUGAGAGUUAGUCAAAAACUUGUAAAUUUUAAUUGAUAUAGGGGUAUUUUUAUAAUUUCACAUUUAUUCGAGCCUAUCGAGCCGCUCGUCGAGCUAUUGAGCCUAUGAAACAAAGACUCGUGCUCGGCUCAUUUAUAUUAACUAGCGGCUUGAGCUCGGCUCGACCUUGGUCAACACGAGCUCAAGCCGAGCUGCUCACGAGCAGCUC
rnacentral:lncRNA from 1 species